GUCUAAGUAUAAGCAACUAUACGGUGAAACUGCGAAUGGCUCAUUAAAUCAGUUAUCGUUUAUUUGAUAGUACCUUACUACUUGGAUAACCGUGGUAAUUCUAGAGCUAAUACAUGCUAAAAACCCCGACUUCGGAAGGGGUGUAUUUAUUAGAUAAAAAACCAGCGCCCUUCGGGGCUCCUUGGUGAUUCAUAAUAACUUAACGAAUCGCAUGGCCUUGCGCCGGCGAUGGUUCAUUCAAAUUUCUGCCCUAUCAACUUUCGAUGGUAGGAUAGUGGCCUACCAUGGUAUCAACGGGUAACGGGGAAUUAGGGUUCUAUUCCGGAGAGGGAGCCUGAGAAACGGCUACCACAUCCAAGGAAGGCAGCAGGCGCGCAAAUUACCCAAUCCCGACACGGGGAGGUAGUGACAAUAAAUACUGAUACAGGGCUCUUUUGGGUCUUGUAAUUGGAAUGAGUACAAUUUAGAUGUCCUAACGAGAACAAGUGAAG
rnacentral:rRNA from 1 species